CACGUAGGGGCAAGCGUUGUCCGGAUUUAUUGGGCGUAAAGAGCUCGUAGGUGGUUCGGUAAGUCGGGUGUUAAACCCCCAGGCUCAACCUGGGGACGCCACUCGAUACUGCUGUGACUAGAGUCCGGUAGGGGAGCGUGGAAUUCCUGGUGUAGCGGUGAAAUGCGCAGAUAUCAGGAGGAACACCAGCGGCGAAGGCGGCGCUCUGGGCCGGUACUGACACUGAGGAGCGAAAGCGUGGGUAGCAAACAGG
rnacentral:rRNA from 1 species